UCCAGACUCCUACGGGAGGCAGCAGUGGGGAAUAUUGCACAAUGGGGGAAACCCUGAUGCAGCGACGCCGCGUGAGUGAGGAAGUAUUUCGGUAUGUAAAGCUCUAUCAGCAGGGAAGAAAAUGACGGUACCUGACUAAGAAGCCCCGGCUAACUACGUGCCAGCAGCCGCGGUAAUACGUAGGGGGCAAGCGUUAUCCGGAUUUACUGGGUGUAAAGGGGGCGCAGACGGCAGCGCAAGCCAGGAGUGAAAGGCCGGGGCCCAACCCCGGGACUGCUCUUGGAACUGCGCGGCUGGAGUGCAGGAGGGGCAGGCGGAAUUCCUGGUGUAGCGGUGAAAUGCGUAGAUAUCAGGAGGAACACCGGUGGCGAAGGCGGCCUGCUGGACUGCAACUGACGUUGAGGCCCGAAAGCGUGGGGAGCAAACAGGAUUAGAUACCCCCGUAA
rnacentral:rRNA from 1 species